rnacentral:rRNA from 1 species
UACGUAGGGGGCAAGCGUUGUCCGGAUUUAUUGGGCGUAAAGAGCGUGUAGGCGGCCGUACAGGUCAGCUGUGAAAACUCGAGGCUCAACCUCGAGACGUCGGUUGAAACCGUACGGCUAGAGUCCGGAAGAGGAGAGUGGAAUUCCCGGUGUAGCGGUGAAAUGCGCAGAUAUCGGGAAGAACACCCGUGGCGAAGGCGGCUCUCUGGGGACGGUACUGACGCUGAGACGCGAAAGCGUGGGGAGCGAACAGG